ACGAACGCUGGCGGCGUGCUUAACACAUGCAAGUCGGACGGAAAGGCCCUGCUUUUGUGGGGUGCUCGAGUGGCGAACGGGUGAGUAACACGUGAGUAACCUGCCCUUGACUUUGGGAUAACUUCAGGAAACUGGGGCUAAUACCGGAUAGGAGCUCCUGCUGCAUGGUGGGGGUUGGAAAGUUUCGGCGGUUGGGGAUGGACUGGCGGCUUAUCAGCUUGUUGGUGGGGUAGUGGCUUACCAAGGCUUUGACGGGUAGCCGGCCUGAGAGGGUGACCGGCCACAUUGGGACUGAGAUACGGCCCAGACUCCUACGGGAGGCAGCAGGGGGGAAUAUUGCACAAUGGGCGGAAGCCUGAUGCAGCAACGCCGCGUGCGGGAUGACGGCCUUCGGGGUGUAAACCGCUUUCGCCUGUGACGAAGCGUGAGUGACGGUAAUGGGUAAAGAAGCACCGGCUAACUACGUG
rnacentral:rRNA from 1 species